GACGAAGGGGGGCUAGCGUUGUUCGGAAUUACUGGGCGUAAAAGCGCGUGUAGGCGGUUGUUCAAGUCAGGUGUGAAAGCCUUGAGCUCAACUCAAGAAAUGCACUUGAUACUGGAUGACUAGAGGACCGGAGAGGAUAGUGGAAUUCCCAGUGUAGUGGUGAAAUACGUAGAGAUUGGGAAGAACACCAGUGGCGAAGGCGGCUAUCUGGACGGUUUCUGACACUAAGACUCGAAAAGCGUGGGGAGCAAACAG
rnacentral:rRNA from 1 species